GACGAACGCUGGCGGCGUGCUUAACACAUGCAAGUCGAACGUGAUUUUUGUGGCAAUUCUUUCGGGAAUGGACAUGAAAUGAAAGUGGCGAACGGGUGAGUAACACGUGAGCAACCUACCUUACACAGGGGGAUAGCCGUUGGAAACGACGAUUAAUACCGCAUGAGACCACAGAAUCGCAUGAUAUAGGGGUCAAAGAUUUAUCGGUGUAAGAAGGGCUCGCGUCUGAUUAGCUAGUUGGAAGGGUAAAGGCCUACCAAGGCGACGAUCAGUAGCCGGCCUGAGAGGAUGAACGGCCACAUUGGAACUGAGACACGGUCCAAACUCCUACGGGAGGCAGCAGUGGGGAAUAUUGCACAAUGGGGGGAACCCUGAUGCAGCGACGCCGCGUGAGCGAAGAAGGUUUUCGAAUCGUAAAGCUCUGUCCUAUGAGAAGAUAAUGACGGUAUCAUAGGAGGAAGCCCCGGCUAAAUACGUG
rnacentral:rRNA from 1 species